CAGCAGAUAAAAAACCCAAGCCAGCCAAUUAUGCUGGACUUUAGUGACUAAGACUACAUUUACCUUUAUGGAUAAUUAUUGGAAAGAGUAUUAAAAUAGAUUUUUCCAAGGGUAUUUGUAUUACUGACAGACCUAAUUAACUCCUUAAAUAUGAGAGUGAAGAGAAAAAAUGAUAAAUAUCCUGUAGCCUAUAAGAAUGCAACUUAUUGCCUCAUUAAUUAUUGCCAGCUAAUAUUUCAGAACUAUAAUAUGCUGACGUUAAUAUUCAGGCUUUGAAACAGGUGUAUGGCUAGUAACCAGACCCAGACAAACUGCUGGUCUCAUAAUCCCUAAAGUGACUACUUUAAAUAUUAUUCCUUGCUUAUUCAAUUUUGGACUUUGUGUCUAUGUCUCAAAACUUACAAAGUAUGGAUUUUCUUAAUGUUUGUCUUAAAUUACAUCCAACUUCCUUCAUGGUCAGAUAAGUGCUGAUGGAAGGAUGAGAACUAAGUAAUGAUGUUCUAGAAGACAAUGUAAUGAAUAAUGUGAGUGAGCCCUUUGCUCUAUGGUUUAUGGAAAGGCCUCAAUGCCAUGACAAUGAAAAUGUCUGUUACUAUGGCCAAAAACAAUGCGUCCCAAUAAAAUUGGGAAAAGAUUAAAAAUCUUCUGAUGAGUGUUUGGCAAGGUAAUAACAAUCCAGAUUAUUGUGUUGACUGUUAUGAAGAUAAUAUGUUUUCUACUAAUUCUUUUUGUGUUUCAAUAGCAGAUUGUGAUGACCUUAGACCAAGAGCCAAGUGACUGAACGAAAAUUUCCCAGUUACAUUCUUUUUUUAAUAUUAAGAAAGGGGGAAUAUGUGGGAGGCCAACCUUACAGGUGACUGAGUUACACUCCCCAGCUGGGUGCUGAGGCGCUCAGUCACAGAAAUGGGUGUGUCUUGCUACAGCCCCAUGGGUGAAGCUAUGCUCACCUGUUCCUUUGUAAUAUAACCCCUUGCCCUGUUUAGGAUAGAAUCUUCCAUGGAAGUGCCUUGUGUGUGUCCCCUCCUCUUACUGUGCCCUGGGAUGUGGCCUACCCAGGUGUCAGUCAACCUGCUAACAGUGGACAUCACGAAGAUAGACUCAGCCCCCUGAAACCUGACCGCUUGCCUCAUUUGAAUAGCUUCUCCUCAAUAAAAGGGGUCAGCACGUGAUCUCUCUCUCUCUCUC
rnacentral:lncRNA from 1 species